GACACUCAACCAUUUCCCGAUGCUGCUGGGAGGUGGGCAGCUGGCAGCCUCUCCGUUCGCCCGCCCACCCGGGGGCACUGGAGCCCCCACCUCAGACCUGCGGCCGCCCAGGCUGGAGGGGGGCCGCCUGGUUCCGGCCAUUCCAGGAGCCAUCCCUGCCCCAGGCCCAGCAGGCAGCAAGGAGGGGAGGGUGGUGGCCAGCGGGCGGCGGGCAGGGCUCCAGGGCCCCAGCACCACAGCCCCACUGCAGAGGAGCCGGCCAGGCUCAGGACCCGGGUGCUGUCGGGUUCUCUUGGGCCUUGGCUCUGUAACAGGGUCCACUUCAUGCUUGGAACAUGGCCCUGGGUGUCUGCCACUGGGACCUAUUUUUGCAGUGGAGAUGUUUCUCUCCCUCCUCCUCCCUAAUCCCUCCCUCCUCCUGGCUAGUGGGGGGAAAGGGUUCCUUCCCGUCCUAGGCCGACUUAUCUGUCCUUGAGUGCACACCACCACAGGAACCAAGCAAUUCAGACUUGGGGAUGGCACCGGAGGAUCUCAGAAAUGACUGUCUCCCGAGCUAGCAAGUGAAUCAACUCCGACAGAACGUGUGGAAUGUGGCUCUGAACCGCCUCCUUAGGAGCCCUGCUCCCUUGAUGGGCAGAACCACAGCCUGGGAAAGCAGUCCUCUGUGCCUCUCCUUUGCGAGCAAAGCCAUAAACCUCUUUUUCCUUUUUCUCAAAACCGUGUCCUUAUCGGAUUGGCAUCAGGAGCCAGGACCAAACUUUUGGUGAAGCUCCAUUCCAGAUGACCCGACUCACACUGUGCUUUGUGUCUGCCCUUUGCUGAAACGCUGGAGUGGGAGAUCCUUGCCACCGACACCCUGGCCCCCUCCCAGCCAGGUGGGCAGCCGCCCUUUGUCUAGGUGUCCAGUCUCCCCUGGUCUUUAUCGGAAAGGCCAGGAAGACCAGGUGGAGCCAGAGGAAGCGCCAGAAGGAACUGGGUGGGAAAUCCUUGCACAACAAAACAGGUUUCACCACAAAACCCAGUGGCCACGUGGCGCCGAACCCCCUGCGUGCAGGGAGACCCCCGUCUGGAGACGCUUCCCUGCACUUCUGUGAGUAUGAGUCCCUCAAGACCCACAUGCUGAAUCCUGAACAUGUGGUCCUGAAGUGGACCUGGUGGGCGGUGCGCGUGACCUGGCUGAACACAGAGCUGGACAGAACACAGGGCAACUGCUCAGCUAAAACGAGACUGUUGGCGUGGGCUCAGCAGUCCUGCUGGCGUCCUCUCCCAGGGGCAUCUGGACACAGGGACACAGCCGCCUCCAUCCUGGACUGCAGCACAAGAAGGCAGGGCUCUGCUCUCCACGCAACCAGGUCCAGAGUGCCGUGCCCUCAGCUCCAGCGUGCUGACACUGCGUCCCUCUCCCACCCACACUGACCAUGGCUUCCCUGACCUGGAUAGGCUGGACUGGGUGCUGCAGGGGAAUGCCACCUAUCUGGGGAGUGGUCGUCCAACCAUGCAAGAGCCCUGGGGUGUCUGCUCAGGAACAGCCAGGUUUGACGCCUGCAUGAGGCUGGGGCCCAUCUGAGAGCCAAGGGAAGCCUGUGUGGGCCCGGCAAAGCCACCAAGUGCCUCUGCUAUGCCACCUGUCCAUUCUGGUCCCUGGGCUGGACUCAAAUGCCUGCACUUGCUUCCCAGGGUCACCUAACAGUGACUCUGUUGAUGAAUGACAAACAUUCAAACAACCACCAUCGAAGACUCCUCUGGACGCAGACCUCUGGAAGUCUCCUGAGCUACAAUAGUGGAUUUAAAGGUGCGACUUUCUGGGCCUGGGGCCUGGGGCCCAAGGGAACUCAGGGCCAGUGGGGCCCCUCCUAAGUGGCCCCAAAGGAUGACGGUGGUUUGCAGAUCCUCUUGAUGUGAAGAGCCUCCAUCUGGAGUGGCCCAUGCCUUCUGCUCUGCUGGGUCCCAGUGACUGGGGCUCCCCUUGGAAUGUGGCCGUGCUUGGAGGCAGGACCGGUGCAGGCGCGACUGCUCAGGUAAGAUGAGAUGCCGGAGCAGGGAGCCCCGUGGCGACCCGGAACACCUGAUGGAGGCGACCUCUGCGGAUUUCCUCACUGUGUGCAGAAGAGAGGAGGUGGGAGGUGGGGGCUGAGCCCAGCUACCUGCAGGCAGCCAGGCAGAUGUGACAGGACCGUCAUGCUGAGUCACUGCCCGCCCAGGUUGAGACAGGGAUCAGGAUGGGAAGAGGAAUACGGAACCUCAAGCCACUGAAGUGCAGAAUCAAGCCAGAGAUGCAGGAAGCGCACUUGUCGACGUGGCCCCACCUGGGCCCCACCUGGGCCCAUGCCCUUGAAAGGGGAGGGAGAUGGCAAGUGCAGGGAAAGGGGGCGUGGAGCUGUGCGUCCUCCCUGGCUCCCCUGGACGUCCUCCUACAAGUAUCGGACACCAGAACUCCUGAGUGGUUAGACACGAUUCUUUAGAAGCCAGUGGUGGGGCUGACUGCUCCCGAGGUUCACGGUGAACCAGGACCGCAGGAUGUGGCUGUAUUUGGAGAUGGUCCUCAAUCAGCAACAAAGGUACCAUGAGGUGGCUUGGGCUGGCCCUGACACCAUCUGAACUGUCCUCGAGAAAAGGGACAUUGGACAAGAGACACAUGCACAUGCAGCGUGGCCCUCAGCCCUGCCCUUCGGGACCCCGUCUGGCCUCCUCCAGGACAGAGGACACACUCCUGGGGUUUGAGCCACCCCUGGGUGGGACCUGGUUCCUGCCAAGCUGCACAGUCCCCACCUGGACUAUUCUGGUCACCAUGGCCACAUCACGCAUGACCACUGUGGCCUGAAAGCUCUGGGGGACCUUUCCACAGACCCAGGGAGAAGAACAUGGCAGUUCUUCAGAACGGCCAGCCCAGCAGGGACUGUCAGGUCCCUCCCGUCCGGGAUGCAGCCAGACCAAAGGCACACAGGGUCACUUCCUACUGGGACAGAGGGAAUCGACACCUGGUCGCCAGCCACACAAGUGCCCUGGUGCCGGGCGCAGGUCCCUAGGAUGCUGCCGGGCCUGGGGGUGGGGGCGGAGGGGGUGCAGAGCCGGGGGCUGCUCCCUGGGUGGUGCCCUCUUGGUGCCUGCAUUGGCCUGGCCCCAGAAGCUGGUCACACAGUGUCUGUGUGUGACAAGCCCAUGAGAGCUCUGACAAGAGAGCCCUGGCUUAGGGUGGACAUCCCCUGCAGGACGUCGAGAUCAAAGGUGCAUUUCUCCUAACACUUGCUCCUGUUGGCACCAGUGCCGAGUGCCGUCCCGAGCCAGGAGCAGAGCUCAGCCGGGCCACUGGCUGGCUCCGGACAGGGCAGAGCCAGCAAACCUGCCCUGGCUCUGGGUCCACACUUCCCAGGAGCCGCUGCUUCAGGCCUCUGACCUUCCAGGACAUGCCCGACCUCGGCUCCCAGGCCUGCGUGGGUGUCACGUUGGGACGCUGGUCUCUGAGGUCCAGUUCAGGCUGAGGCUAGGCCUGGCCCAAGCUCCUCCAUCCGGGGCCCACUGGUACUUUUCCCCCAUGCCUUGGGGGCAUGGGUGGCACACUGUGGGACCAGCCAGGUGGAGGUGAGCCGGAGCCCUGAGCCCCAAGCCCCCCUAGCCAAUGGCUAGAAGGUGGUGCCUCCAGUCCUGUCCAGCCGACUCCCACUGCUGCCCUGUGGGUGGACAAGGAGCUGACCUCCUAGGCAGCCAUCUGGGUCUUAGCUGACCUGUUACCUGGGUUAGUCAGGUGUCCUGGAGGCACCCCCCUGCCUCAGGAAGACGCGCCUUCGGGGUGCAGACUAGGCCGACGAGGCCUCGCACUGACAAGGGGGACACUACCUGAGGUCCAGCCCACGGGGAGAGCUGGUCCCAGGGCACUAAGAUGCUCAAGCAGCGCCGCAGGGGCUGGGCACAGGGUCUGCUGCAGGAAGUGCUCGGUGGACAGCGGCCAGCGUCAGAGGGCCUGGCCCUGGUGCCUCUGAGGCAGCUCGGGUGCGUGUGUGCGGCCUGAUCCACAUCUGCCAGUGGCCUCUGUUUGCAAGGCUGGACGCGGCUCAGUGGUAUUGUCUGAGUUGGAGCCAGUGAACUAGCCAGCUGGGGCUGCGACCCCUGUCCUGCUGUCACCACGGCCGCCUGGCCACUGAGGCCUCUGGGUCCUCCGGGAGUCUUUGGUGAGGAGCAGAGGAGGCGAGGGGACGACUAACCUAACAAAGGCCCCAGAGCACAGCCUGCACCUCCUCUCCACAGCCGCCCACCCACUGCCCCCUGGUGCUGAGACCCACAGACGCCCGGCCCCUGGCUGUGCGGCCUCCGGCCUCCGACAGGCGGGCUCUCAGCCUCAGAACAAGGCCCGUCCUGUCUGCGCGAGUGCCGCACAGCAGACGCUGCCAGGGAGAGUCAAGUGCUCCUGUUUGGGGUUUCCUUUCCUUUCAUUUGAGCUCGGGCGUGACGUCAGGUUACGACAGAGGGAAAGCGUCUGUCAAGCUGGGGCCUGACGAGUGCCCGACCCCACCCCGCCUGCUGCGCCUGCUGCGCCUGCUGCGCCUGCUGCGCCUGCGUUUUCAUGUACUGAGGUUCACGACUAGGAAAUGAUAUUGUCUCCACGUGCAAGCACAUGAGUUUAUCAGCACACACGUGCACACAGGUGUACAAACACACGCGAACACAAAGUUAUGCACAGGCAUUCCCAUAUGUAUACGCAUACACAUGCAUACGCGUAUCACACAAGCACACGCAUACGCAUACGCAUACAGGUGCACAUGCUCACACACCCAUGUGUUUACACAGUAUGCGUGUACACACGCAUGCACAUGUGGACACACAGGGUGCGACAACCCACUGCCCUUUUAAUCCCACAACGACAGUAAUGAGGCUUCAGUGAUGCACAUCUGACAGGGGAGGCUGCACCUUUCCCAGGCACUGCCAGCCAGGCAAGGUCGAGGUCUGCAUCUGGGCCACUGGCCUGGGCACAGCCCAGCACCUUCUCUGCACCCAGAGCCACCCAGCCUCCGCUGUGUGUGGGGACACUGGAGAAGUAAAUGGUGACUGGGAUCCAAACUGAGACACAGCACCAAAGGUCAGGGGUAGAACAAUGAACCGUGUUCACGUAAAUCACAUGACUACAAGCCAACGCCUCGGCAGACAGACAGGAAAGCCACGCAUCUGUGCCCACGUGGGCAAAGAUGGAGGAGAAGCCCAUGAGCAGAGGGCUGAGAGGUGCCCAGGGCCCGGGGUGCUCGUGUCUGUGGAGGCAAGACUAGGACAGAGCACCAUGCCCCCGAGCCAUAGCUGGUCAGCAAGGGCCAUGACGUGGGAAAGGCAGAUGGGCGCCCAAGGAAGGGGUUCAGCUGCACCCUGGAAAACCCUGCUAAAUGGGUUUAGUGCACAACUUGCCUCGCCAACCAGAUGCACCCUGCGGUGGAUCCAGGCCCAGCCACUCAGCCGAGCUAGGACCUGCAGGCAGUCCCAGGCCCGGGGUGGGUUUUCCUGUCUUAGCCUGUUCCCUGAUGGGACAUCUUGAGGGAACUUAAGCUGUGAGGCUGGAUCUUUUUGAAGAAAAAAUACUUUUAGUUGUAGAGGCACACAGUACCUCUAUUUUGUUUAUUAUAUGUGUUGCUGAAGAGUGAACCCAGUUCCUCACACAUGCUAGGCAAGUGCCCCUCCCCAGCCCCCGCCCCAGCCCGUGAUGCUGGAUCUUUGCAGGCCAUGUCUGCAGGACGGAGGCAGGAAGGGGUCCUGCCUCCAGGAAGCCAGCCUGCGAAUUUCCAGAGAAGGGCUGUCACAUUCUGUGCUCUCCCUGGUUUAACUUAGUCACUUAAACAACUGGCUCGUUUUUCAAGGGAAGAAACUAUGGCGCACAGAGAAAGUCUGAAGAAAGGCUUCAUUUCCAGGCAAGAACUGCCUAGCCAAAGAGCCCCAAGUCCUGGAGAUGAAGGGUGAACAUGUCCAUUCAUCCACCCAACCACUUAUGCAUCCAUUCAUCCACCACUCUACACAUCCACCCACCCAUCCCUCUGUCCACCCACUGAUGUGUUCAUCUGUCCACCCAUCCAUCCAUCCGUGGGUGAAGUGGGAAGGACUGUAGUUCACAAUCUGUAAGAACUGUGUGUCUAAGCUAGAGGAAGUCGGAGCUUCCAUUUUUUUUAGGCCAAGAUGGGUUUUAUUUGCAUUAUCAAGUUUUUCUACGGUGUUUUCGGUUGCCUCUACACUGCUGGUGCCCCAAGUGUGCCCCGGUGCCUGCUGGGCCUCCCGGCACAGGCCAUGAUGCCCGGGGCGUCUGGGAAGGCCCAUGAGCCUCAGCUGGAGGCUGGGGCCCUGCUGCCGAGGCCCCCCUGAGAGCUCUGGGAGUGGACUACUGCAUUCCAUGAGAGCUUCAGCUGGACAUUUGGUGCCAAGGUUGAGGAAACCCUGUGCUUCUCCUUCAUACACAAAUCUGUCGUGAGCCUCAGGACGCCCCUCAUGUUGGACAAACUCAGAAAAGCACCUGGAGAGAAGGAGAGGCGCUGCUCAGGUCUCCAGGCCAGCUGCUGGGCGUCUGCUGCUGGCUGUCCUGCAGAGCCGGGGCCUCCCACGCGCUCAGCCCCGGGCCACGGCGCUGGGUUCAUCGGAACGUCCCAGGUGAGCUCUCCUGAGCCCCUACAGGCUGCACCUGACUCCGUGCCAGGAGUCGGGAAGCUAGUGCCACCUGGCUCUAAGACACCAUGCAUGUCCUCGAGCUGGGGACUUCUUGAAGGCGGAUGCCAUGCUGCCUUGCUGGGUGGAGUGUGGAGGCCCUGUUCCCUUCCUGUACCACGGUGGCGGCUCCUCACAGCAUGUCUCUGGGGACCAGGCACCUUGGGAGAAACCCUUCCCCAGCUGGGAGACUGAGGGAGGAGUCGGGCAGUGUGACUGACCACCUGGACAUGGUGGGGUUCAGGCUGCCGUCUGCCAUGUGGUCUCCCUGAAACGGGCCUGGGUGUGAUCUGGACAGUGCUCUUGGGGCGUCUGGGGGGACUAGUGCUUCUAACAAGAGGAGGGGAGUGAGCCCGCGGCUUCAGAUGGACAGAGGAGCUGCUGCAGGCUUCCAGGAGCCAGCAGGGGACAGGGAGUGUGGGCAGCGGUGUCGGCCGGCCUUGCCCAGGGCACACCUGUCCUUCUAACACAGUGGCAACAGAGAACUCAGUUCAGAUGUGAGCAGCCAAGCUGGUGCUAGCCCCUUACCAGGGUCCGUCGUGUACGGUGCCUACGUCUUAAUUCUGGAAGCAGGGAGACUACAGACAGAUACUUCCAGAGCCUUCCAAUUUGUCCACUUUCCUGUCUCUCCUUCACACCCUCCCUGCCCGCACCCAUCCUCUAGAUCCUGGUAAAUUCCUGGCCACCCCAUCGGCAGGAGCAGGAACUCUGGAAGGCCGUGUGAGAGUGCCCUCUAGUGGCUGCACAGGCCAGCAGCAGGCAGCGAGGUGCAGGUCCAGGGAGGAGGAGAGGGUCCCCAGGAGGAAGAAAGAGCUGCCCAGGGGGCGCCCAGCGGGGCCAGGUGCACAGUGUGGGGCACGUGCUCCUGGCUGCGUCUUCCUCUGGGAGACGCCGCUCACUUCCAUCCGCACUCCUCCUGUCCUCUCAGGGCCUCCUUCUUCCUCAGCUAGGCUCCACGAAGACGGGAGGGUGGGUGACAGGUGAGUCCCCUGAGGGUCCGGUUUGGCCCCCACCACUGCGAAAAAGCACCUGCCCUUCUGCGUCUUCCGCCCAUCUCUGGGGUGGCGGAUGGGUCUGGCCGGGGGGCGUGGGCACAUGGUCCCUCCUCCGGGCCAUGCUUCUGGAAAUUGGGUCCCGUGUCAAGAAGACAAAUUCACAUAGUGACCCAGGACAUAGUUCGUCACCAAGAGGGGUGUGAGGUCUGAAUGCUGCGUUCCCUAUGCUGGGACAAACUGUCCCUUUCUUGAACAAGGGCAGCUGAGGCUGAGGUAUCACAAAUAAUUCCUAGGGGCCAAGGACCUGCAGAGACCUUUUCCAAAAGGACAGGAAGGGUGGCAACAGCAGCAGCACCCUGGGCCUCCCCUGGAGGGCAUCACACAGGCAGGGCUGCAGAGGGGACCCUGUCCCUUGGGGAGGGUUGCCAGAGAGAGGCUGCAGGGUGACAGAGACUUCUCCCCACACUCCAGGGACUGGUGCUCCCUGGAGCAAAGGGCCAGCUGCCCAGGCACAGGUCAGCAAGCCCCGGAGAGGGACCUGUCAGCACAGGCGUGUGCUAGAGCCACCCCAGGAGCCCAGGAGGGCAGUGGCCAGCCUGAAGGUGCUCGGGGCUCACAGACUGGCUUCUCGGAGGACGGUGCUCUGAACAGCCAGUCACUGCCCGGUGGGCCCCGCAGGGAUCCUGACCCCCACAGGCAGCCGUGGAAGACGCGGCGCUGUCCCUGGGACAUGUCCUUCCCAUCUUGGUGUGCCCCGCCUGCGUGUCUGAUGUCUGUGUCGGCCCCGGCACUCCUGCCCACCACAGAAGGGCUGGGGGAGACAGGGAGGUCCAGAAACCACACUUCCCGUGUGCCCUUCCAGAAUACCAACGUCCCAGGGCCAGCUCUGCCGGCCACCGGGGUAAAGGGGAGGGGACACAAUUCAAGUGCACAGGAAUAUAGCAUUCCACUCUGACAACCAGUAGUGACCUGAAGGAGGCAUGUCACAAAAACUGGAGUCUCCAGGACUCAGGGAAGGCACCUUGCAGGCUGCCAAGGGCCCACUCCAGUGGACCUGUGCCAUGGCUGAGGCAGCCUAUCCUCCUGGGGUCCCCAAGUGCAGCUAGAAAGGUCCGUUCCCCAGAGGCCCUGGGUGGCCUGCGGUCAACAGAACCCUGAGUGCUGGGAGUCCCCCAGUGACCCCUGCACUGCUGAGAGGCCUCCUGCCUGGGCCUCUGUGACCAGUGUGACCGACAUGCACCGGUUUCCUCCCCCCCACUUCAAAUGCCUGCUGAUGGGGAGGAAGAUCCCAGCAAAUGGCAGGAAACCCUGGACUCCAACACAAGCACACACACCAACACACACGCACACGACUCACAACAACCUCGAAUCCCAGCACAUGCAUUAACACACAGGCACACGCAACAUACACUCAAUACACAAGCACACACAACAUACACUUAAUACACAAGCACACACAACAUGCAAUACCUAACACACCAACACACAAGCACACACAACACACAAACACUCAAUACACAAGCACACACAACACACAAUACACAAGCACACACAAUACAACAUACACUCAAUACCCAAGCACACACAACAUGCAAUGCCUAACACACCAACACACAAGCACACACAACACACAAACAAUACACAAGCACACACAACACAACAUACACUCAAUACCCAAGCACACACAACAUGCAAUGCCUAAUACACCAACACACAACACACAAACACUCAAUACACAAGCACACACAAACACACUCAAUACACAAGCACACACAACAUGCAAAUGCCUAACACACUGACAUACAAGCACACACAACACAAAACUAUCUCAAAUUCAAGCACAUGCAUUAACAUGCAAAGACACACAAGCACACACAACACACAAACACACUCAACCCACAAGCAUGCACAACACACAGAUGCCUAAACAGACAUUGACACAAGCACACAUAACACAGAAACCACAUACAUCAACGUGCAAGCACACAGCCCACAAACCAACUCAACAGGCAAGCAUACGCAUCAAUAUGCAGACACACGUCAACACACAAGAACACACCCCAACACGCAAGCACACACAUCAACACACAAGAACACACAACAAACAACCUCAACAUGCAAGCACAUGCAUUAACACACAAGUAUACACAGCACGCAAGCACACACAACUCACACACACACCACACACAAGCACACACAACACACAAAUACAUAAACACACAUCAAUACACAAGCACACACACACCAACACAUUAACACAGACACACACAUCAACAAAUAAACACAGAUGAACACACAGCACACACAUGGACACAGGAGUGACAGCAUACACCCUACUUCACAAGCACGUGACAUGAGCACACCCACACUGUCCUGCAGGUACCACCUUUUCUUUUUAAAGUCACACGUAUUUUAUUCAGCCUCACGCAGUGUCUUCUGAUUUAUGAUAAUUGUCCAUAAAAGCAAAAACACAGAGGAUUCUAACCCCGCAGUUUCUAGGCGUUAAUGGGCAUAAAAUUAUGCCGUAGUUUUUUCUGAAAAAAAGGGAGGGGAGUCCAAAGCACGUCCUCGUGUUGACCUCGGAGGGCACUGGACGGAGAGGCCGCCGAGAGCCUCACGUGACAGCCGCCCUGAAGCCGCGUGUGCCAGGAGCAGACCUGGGCAGUGGGCACCCCCGCGGGAUCCCGGUGAGCGCUGCCCGGAGGACUACGAGGGAGACUCAUUUCCAUAUCAAACCCGAUUUAGAUGAAACGUCUUGGUUAGGGAAAAAAAAAGCCAGUGUGCAUCAAUAGCCCCUUGAUUAGAUUUUCAUCUCCUGAGCAGACAAAUAUGAAUAUUUAUUACCAUGAAUGAGAUCUUUCCCUUUCCAUUGCUCUGAUCUUGAAUAUUAUCUAUUGCUAAUUUUUAUGAAAAUUUGGGCAACAUAAUGUUUUCACGUAAACUGACAGUUCUUGAGAUAAUCCCGUUAUUGUCUGGUUGGAAAUGACAGCUUCCGCUCAUUCAUGUGUUAACGAGGGAUUAAAUAUUGUUUUUCAUUCCCAUAAUCUAAGAUGGACUGGAAAUUAAAAAUCGAACAUUGUGUAUUA